rnacentral:lncRNA from 1 species
ACCCGUUGGAUUUCAAUCACAAUCGAAUCGGAAUUACGCCUUAGAUUGUUAGAACAAGUACCGCAACGAAAAUCUGAUUGUGAUUUAAAUCUAACUAAAUUUUAUUAUAAAUACAACUUACAGAUAAUUGCUAUAUCCAAAUAAAUACUUAAUUGAUCCGGAAGCGUGCGAGGUACUGCCCUAAGGCGUAUUCCCGUCCUUACGUGCGGGAUUAACCGGGAACAACACCCCAAGGUACGACCGGAAUUCCUCCUCCUGCGAGCACGAUCGUGAAGAAGGUUGACGGAGACUCUUUCAACACCCGAUGACAAAGAGAUUGAUCAAAAUAGAAUCUAAAAUAAAAUUUAAAUCAUUCUUUGCAAUGUUCAUGUAUCUCAAAAGAACAGCAUGCAAAGCUAAAAUAUAUAUAUAGAGGGGUUAUAUGGUGUAACAUUGGAAUCAACCCCAACGUACAAACCUUAUUAUGCACCCUUAAUUCAUGCUUUAAUGUGAAAUAAAGGAGGAAUAAAUUAAAUUUAAUACAUCCAAUUAAUUAAUAUAAUAAAAGACAAUAAAUGUAAAUAAUUAUAAAAUUAAAUGAUAUUUAGAGAUUUUGGAUUUUUUCACCAACAAUCCCCCACAAAAUUCAAAAUCACAAAAGAAGAAUUAAACAAACAAAUAAAUAAAUCAUCGGGUGUUUAUACUAUGCAAUAGGCGAGGUGUCUUUAAGAGACUUAACCCCACUUAGUGUAAAUAGUUUCCAUCAGAAGGAAUCGGAGUGAACCAGGUCUUGAACUACGUUCCUUUGGCCCUGACUUCUACUACCACACACACAGUACAGAAUUCUCCGUCGCGGGUCUGUGCGUUAAUGGCCAUGCACAGUACCUUGAUUUUUCAUAAGAGUUUCUAUGUAUAGCCCAUUCACAUAGCCGCGGCCACAUACGGAUACUCUUAUAUAGGUGGUUUCCUCCAGGGAUGUGUGUAGAGUCACAUCUCGCGAAAAUUAUCGCCUUGGAUCCCAUUAAGAGCUCUCAGCUCAACCUAAUCCACUACACAGAGCACUACUCACCAUAGGGAUGGGAUUGGAGCUAAAGCUCCUAUAUAAAAUUUGUAGAAAGUGCUCUUUGGCCAACCUGACAGCUUGUUUUUACCACAUUGAACCUUCUUCAAGGGAUCUCCUAUCACAAAGGUUGGGUUCCCACUGCAGGAAGGCCCUUUAUGGGCAAAUCCCAUCCCCCUCGAUGACUCCAGGACCUUAGUCCUAUUCAAGCCGUUCGUCAAAUAAUCUGCAAAGUUUUGUUCAGAUCUGAUAAAAUCAAAUAAGUAAUAUUAUAAAAAUAACCAUCUAAUAAAUUUAUGUCUCAAAAUAAUUUACCUGCCAGUCUUAGAAUUUGCAAAAUUCGUUUCCAAGAUGAACACUAGGAUAAAAUCACGAGAGCAAUUAUAAUAUCAAAAUUUAUCAACAGAUAAAAGAUUUUCCCCCACAAGUUCUGCGAUAUAUCAAAACUUAAAAUCAUGAGGUUAAUUAUGUCUAAUGGAGUUUGGGGUUCAACAGCAAAUAGAUGGCCUAAAUAAUUUUUUAAAAUUUUAUCUCAAUUAGAUCUUUUCAUUACAAAAUAUAAUGCAAGCAAUAUGCAUCAAACAAAAUGAUUACAGGAAAGUGGUGCUGUUGGUUACACGACUUUGUUCAAAGACUGUGCUUAAACAAACUGUGGGUUUCAAAUCCCAAUAUUGAAACAAUAACAAUAAUAUUUAAUAAUAAAGCUUAAAGAAAUCUAACCUUUUUUUUUUUUAAUUUUAUAAACAAACUUAAAACACCCUAUAACAGAUAUGAGAAUAUAAUAAUUGAUAAUUAAGCUAUAUGCAAUUAGCAAGUAAAUUAUAUGCAAUUAGAAUUUGAAAAUACUAAUUCUAAUUUAUUUAAAUUAGAACGACAAACAUGCAAUCAAAUUUGUCUAACAAAAAUAACAUUCGAUAUCUUUCUAUUUUAAGCAAAAUAAUAAUUAAACUACAUACAUAAGUGUGCUAGUCUCGAACAGCAGUGCAGCGCAACGACAUGAUAAAAUUCCAGUAACAAGCUAUCAUGGGUAGACACUCCCCCACAAAAAUUAAUAUUUAAUAUCGAGGUUGGCACAUAGCCCACAUAUAUUAGAUAUUAAACUAAUAAGAACAAAUAUUACAACGAAACAGUAUAUUUAUAUAAGGUUACACUGAUUUUUUUCUUUUUUUUUUAAUACUCAUCAAAUAAAAUGUAAUUUAAACAAGAAAUUACAUAAUAUGCAAUUAUAGGUUAAAAUGAUAAUUCCGAAAAAUUUAUGUUUGAAUGCCAAUCAUACAAACAAAUUAACUAACAAAUUAUAUACAUAUAAAAUUAAAAUUAAUUUAAUACAGAUUAGCACCCGUUGGAUUUCAAUCACAAUCGAAUCGGAAUUACGCCUUAGAUUGUUAGAACAAGUACCGCAACGAAAAUCUGAUUGUGAUUUAAAUCUAACUAAAUUUUAUUAUAAAUACAACUUACAGAUAAUUGCUAUAUCCAAAUAAAUACUUAAUUGAUCCGGAAGCGUGCGAGGCACUGCCCUAAGACGUAUUCCCGUCCUUACGUGCGGGAUUAACCGGGAACAACACCCCAAGGUACGACCGGAAUUCCUCCUCCUGCGAGCACGAUCGUGAAGAAGGUUGACGGAGACUCUUUCAACACCCGAUGACAAAGAGAUUGAUCAAAAUAGAAUCUAAAAUAAAAUUUAAAUCAUUCUUUGCAAUGUUCAUGUAUCUCAAAAGAACAGCAUGCAAAGCUAAA